rnacentral:rRNA from 1 species
AUGAAGCGAGAAGGCGUUUGCACGAGAAGCCAGACCAAGAUACAAAAAGUAUGGACAGCUUGGCGAGGAAAUUCGCGUCCGGACAAUCCUUUCGAAGAGGAAUUUGGCAGCUCAAGUGAUUCUGGUCAAGGUGUCUGGAUGGAACUCAGUGAAGAAAUCGCCUCAAACUUAGCGGGCACUGUUGUAUCGCUUGCUUCAUUUGCUGAUGAAAAGACCGUGUUUUUUGCAUGCACGGGCAUAAUUAUCGUAAACAAGCCUACUUUUACAAGUUGUCUGACUUCAUUAAGUUUGGUUAGAUCUGUUGAUGAUGACACCAAGAUCCUUCACGAUAUGACGAUUGAAGUGCGCCUUCUGGAUAACACACUUGAACUGGGAUGGUUGGAAUUCUACGAUUUGAAAUACAAUGUUGCGGUUAUCAAUAUCGCUUGCUGCCAUUCUCUUCAAGUAACAUGUCUAGAUCAUCAGCGGCAAUUUGAGUCUCACAGUAAAGUAGUUGCCGUAGGGCGUUGCUUCAACUCAGGAAAAUUAAUGGCCACAGCUGGGAUGUUGACUGACAAUCCAAAAGGAGCUUACCGGGAGGAGCUUGCCAUCUCCACAUGUGAAAUUACUAUGACUGGAGUUGGAGGGCCCCUUGUUGAUUUUAAUGGGGACUUCAUUGGGAUGAACUUUUAUGCUGAGAAAGAAACUCCAUUCCUACCAAGGAUUAAAAUUCUUGAACUCCUGUCGCAGUUCAGGAAAACAAUUCAGUGGUUUGCUAUAAAUAAGAAAGGACCUGGUAGUAAACUUGAAAGAUUUCCCAGACCUUAUAAGCCUGAUUCAGAAGACAGCUCAAGGAAGGGAGAGAAACUUAAGGAUCAGAAACCUUCCAUAUGUACUCUCUGUGAUCCAGAAUGUCAACCAGGACUCAUGGAUAGAUUAUUAUUAGAGCGGAAGUCUUUAUGUUCUGGGCGGCCGGGUUAUCCUUAUUUUGGCGUUGCUACAAAAAAGGAGCUGAGUUCCAAUGGUUAUCCCCUCCCAGUUUGGCAGAAUGUGGGCAUGCGUUUGCUUAACAAUUUUGAAGAGAAAUUUAGUGAAGAUAUCUGGAGUAAACUCGAAAGAAACGUUGCUUCAAAUAUGUCUCAAAGUGUUGUUGCAUUGGCUUCGUUCAGUGGAAAAACAAGGUGUUUUGCUUGCACGGGCGUAUUCAUAGACUGCAAUGGGUCCACCACAAGAGUUCUGACCUCGGCAAGUUUGGUUAGAACUUUUGACGAUGAAAACAAGGUUGCUGAUAACCUUAAGAUUGUAGUGUGCCUUCCAGAUAAUCGUCAUACCAGAGGGACAUUGCAACAUUACAGUCUACACUAUAACAUUGCCGUAGUCCACAUCAAGAAUUUCUGCUGUACUCAGACAGCACAAAUCGAUAACCAGAUGCUAAUUAAACCUCAGAAGGAGGUAGUAGCUAUAGGGCGCAUCUACCAAUCAGACAAAUUAAUGGCCACAAGUGGGAUCGUGAUUGACAAACCAAGUAAGCUUGGUUGCAAAGAGCUUAAGAUUUCCACCUGUAAAAUCACCAAGGCUGGGAUUGGAGGGCCUCUUAUUGAUUUUGAUGGAAAUUUUAUUGGCAUGAACUUCUAUGGCUUGGAAGAGGCUCCAUACAUACCAGUGAAUAUAAUUCAAAAAGUCUUGAAGAAUUUUGAUGUACAAGGGACUGUUGCUAGAGACGAUGAUGAUAGCCCAAACAGAUGGCCCGUGCCUAAGCCAUUUUGGUGCUAUCCCAAAUGGCACGAGCUUGAGGAAGGAAUAGAUGUGGAAGAAGAAAUUAUAUAUCAGCGGCAGCGAAAACAAUUCUAA